rnacentral:miRNA from 1 species
CAGCAGACACAUUCCAGCCAAUCAGCAGCAGACCCUCCCUCCCACCUCCUGGACAGCAUUCAUUGUGAAGCUGCAUUCUUAGUGAGCUGUCCAGGAGGUGGGAGGGUCUGGGAGGGAGGGUCUGCUGCUGAUUGGCUGGAAUGUGUCUGCUG